rnacentral:rRNA from 1 species
UACGUAGGGGCUAGCGUUGUCCGGAAUCAUUGGGCGUAAAGCGCGUGUAGGCGGCCCGGUAAGUCCGCUGUGAAAGUCGGGGGCUCAACCCUCGGAUGCCGGUGGAUACUGUCGGGCUCGAGUACGGAAGAGGCGAGUGGAAUUCCUGGUGUAGCGGUGAAAUGCGCAGAUAUCAGGAGGAACACCGGUGGCGAAGGCGGGUCUCUGGGACGGUACUGACGCUGAGACGCGAAAGCGUGGGGAGCGAACAGG